rnacentral:lncRNA from 1 species
AUGCGAGAUUCUCUCGGUUCAGCCAUGAUCUCAGACUCUCAGGUACGCCUCUACCUUUUUUUUUUUUUUUAUAUAAUUCUUGGUAGCUUUGGUUAGGUCUGUAAUUAAGGGUAGUCUUAAACUUGCUACCAAUUUCCAUUAUGCAACUAGUCUAAUGUGCGUUAUUAAAAAUCAUAUUUUUUCUUUCAUAUGUAUCAUUAUUGAUUAUCAUUUAGAAUUAAGUAUUAGUGUUAGGUUAUCAUCA